GCCCAGAUGGCGGAAUUGGUAGACGCGCAGGUUUCAGGUACCUGUAACCUUAAAGGUUAUGUAAGUUCAAAUCUUAUUCUGGGCACCA
rnacentral:tRNA from 1 species